UCGGACGUGGUGCAAGGUGCAUAUCCGCUCGCAAUAGCCUCUUCGAACCGGAACCCUGUGGCGAGAGCUCCGGGUUCGACUCCCGGCGUCUGAG